UAGUUAGUCUAAAACUUAUUUCCUUGGAACACGUACACAUGCACACACACAAAUUGUAAAAAUAAAAUAAAUUCCGAGAUUCUCUAACGGGUUCGAGUAGACUGUAACGGAUCAAAGAUGUGCAGCCCGUGCUGUGGUGGAUGCUGUGGACCCUGUUGUAGCCCAUGCUGUGACUGUUGCGGACCAUGUUGUGCCCCAUGUUGCUCGCCCUGUUGUAGCCCGUGUUGCUCGCCCUGUUGUAGCCCGUGUUGCAGCCCAUGCUGUUCCCCAUGCAAGCAAUGUUGUUGUUCAUGCUGCGGACCAUGCGGCGGCGGGAAAUGUGGGCCGUGCUGUGGACCAUGCUGCGGACCCUGCUGCGGACCCUGUUGUGGUUCAUGCUGUGGACCUUGUUGUUCGCCAUGUUGCGGACCCUGCUGUGGACCAUGCUGUGGGCCCUGUUGCGGUCCCUGUUGUGGACCUUGUUGUGGUCCAUGCGGACCCAAAUGCAAAUAGACGGCCCGACACUCAACCUGGACUCAGAUGAACUGGACGCAGCUAAAGAGGGAGUGCAUAAACAACACCAAAAAUUCGUUGAAACCCGUUAGAGAAAAAUAAAUCUCAAACCUAAUACAAACUGAAAUCUGAAAAAAUUAAAAAUUUAUCAAUGCGAACUCUA